rnacentral:rRNA from 1 species
CCUACGGGGCGCAGCAGUCGCGAAAACUUCGCAAUGGGGGCAACCCCGACGAGGGAAUUCCAAGUGCUAGCACUUUGUGUUAGCUGUUCUUCUGUCUAAAAAACAGGAGGAGUAAGGGGCGGGUAAGACGGGUGCCAGCCGCCGCGGUAAUACCCGCGCCCCAAGUGGUGGUCGAUAUUAUUGAGCCUAAAACGUCCGUAGCCGGUCUUCUAAAUCCUUGGGUAAAUCGGGCAGCUUAACUGUCCGAAGUCCGGGGAGACUGGGAGACUUGGGACCGGGAGAGGUCAGAGGUACUUCUGGGGUAGGGGUAAAAUCCUGUAAUCCUGGAAGGACCACCGGUGGCGAAGGCGUCUGACUAGAACGGAUCCGACGGUGAGGGACGAAGCCCUGGGGCGCAAACGGGAUUAGAUACCCCGGUAGUCCAGGGUGUAAACGCUGCGGGCUUGGUGUUGGGGGUCCCUAGUGGGCGCCCAGUGCCGGAGAGAAGUUGUUAAGCCUGCUGCUUGGGGAGUAUGUCCGCAAGGAUGAAACUUAAAGGAAUUGGCGGGGGAGCACCGCAACGGGAGGAGCGUGCGGUUCAAUUGGAUUCAACGCCGAAAAACUCACCAGGAGCGACGGAUAUA